CCUCCGCAUGCAUGCCAUGUUCGGCGGCCGAACCUGGACUUCCCUCACUUAUGCUUUCGGGGGCCUAAAGCACACCCGCAACGCAUGCAUGUUCGGCGGCCGAACCUGAGUUUUCCUCCAAAGCUAUUUUCAUGCAAAAACUCAUUUCCUUUCAUACUUAAAACAUAAAACACAUUAAAACAUUUUAUAAAAACAUGGUUUUACCCUACUAGAGGCUUCCGACAUCCGAGAUUCCACCGGACGGUAGGAAUUCCGAUACCGGAGUCUAGCCGGGUAUUACAGG
rnacentral:lncRNA from 1 species